GACGAACGCUGGCGGCGUGCCUAAUACAUGCAAGUCGAGCGAAGUUUUUCUGGUGCUUGCACCGGAAAAACUUAGCGGCGAACGGGUGAGUAACACGUAAAGAACCUGCCUCAUAGACUGGGACAACUAUUGGAAACGAUAGCUAAUACCGGAUAACAGCAUUAACUGCAUGGUUGAUGUUUGAAAGUUUGUUUUGCUAACACUAUGAGAUGGCUUUGCGGUGAAUUAGCUAGUUGGUGGGGUAAAGGCCUACCAAGGCGACGAUGCAUAGCCGACCUGAGAGGGUGAUCGGCCACACUGGGACUGAGACACGGCCCAGACUCCUACGGGAGGCAGCAGUAGGGAAUCUUCCGCAAUGGGCGAAAGCCUGACGGAGCAACGCCGCGUGAGUGAAGAAGGAUUUCGGUUCGUAAAGCUCUGUUGUUAGGGAAGAAUGAUUAUGUAGUAACUAUACAUAGUAGAGACGGUACCUAACCAGAAAGCCACGGCUAACUACGUG
rnacentral:rRNA from 1 species